rnacentral:rRNA from 1 species
AUUGAACGCUGGCGGCAUGCCUUACACAUGCAAGUCGAACGGCAGCACGGGAGCAAUCCUGGUGGCGAGUGGCGAACGGGUGAGUAAAGUAUCGGAACGUGCCCAGUCGUGGGGGAUAACGUAGCGAAAGUUACGCUAAUACCGCAUACGAUCUAUGGAUGAAAGCGGGGGAUCGCAAGACCUCGCGCGAUUGGAGCGGCCGAUAUCAGAUUAGGUAGUUGGGGGGGUAAAGGCUCACAAAGCCGACGAUCUGUAGCUGGUCUGAGAGGACGACCAGCCACACUGGGACUGAGACACGGCCCAGACUCCGACGGGAGGCAGCAGUGGGGAAUUUUGGACAAUGGGCGAAAGCCUGAUCCAGCCAUGCCGCGUGCAGGAUGAAGGCCUUCGGGUUGUAAACUGCUUUUGUACGGAACGAAAAGGUUUGGCCUAAUAAGCUGAGCUCAUGACGGUACCGUAAGAAUAAGCACCGGCUAACUACGUGCCAGCAGCCGCGGUAAAAC